rnacentral:rRNA from 1 species
GAUGAACGCUGGCGGCGUGCUUAACACAUGCAAGUCGAACGAAGCACUUUAUUACGAUUUCUUCGGAAUGACGAUUUAGUGACUGAGUGGCGGACGGGUGAGUAACGCGUGGGUAACCUGCCUUAUACAGGGGGAUAACAGUUAGAAAUGACUGCUAAUACCGCAUAAGCGCACAGGAUUGCAUGAUCUGGUGUGAAAAACUCCGGUGGUAUAAGAUGGACCCGCGUCUGAUUAGCUAGUUGGUGGGGUAACAGCCUACCAAGGCGACGAUCAGUAGCCGACCUGAGAGGGUGACCGGCCACAUUGGGACUGAGACACGGCCCAAACUCCUACGGGAGGCAGCAGUGGGGAAUAUUGCACAAUGGGGGAAACCCUGAUGCAGCGACGCCGCGUGAGCGAAGAAGUAUUUCGGUAUGUAAAGCUCUAUCAGCAGGGAAGAUAAUGACGGUACCUGACUAAGAAGCACCGGCUAAAUACGUGCCAGCA